rnacentral:rRNA from 1 species
UACAGAGGUCCCAAGCGUUGUUCGGAUUCACUGGGCGUAAAGGGUGCGUAGGUGGCGGGGCAAGUCUGAUGUGAAAUCUCCGAGCUUAACUCGGAAACUGCAUCGGAUACUGCUUUGCUCGAGGGUUGGAGGGGGGACUGGAAUACUUGGUGUAGCAGUGAAAUGCGUAGAUAUCAAGUGGAACACCAGUGGCGAAGGCGAGUCCCUGGACAACUCCUGACACUGAGGCACGAAAGCUAGGGGAGCAAACAGG